rnacentral:rRNA from 1 species
GACGAACGCUGGCGGCGUGCUUAACACAUGCAAGUCGAGCGGUAAGGCCCUUUCGGGGUACGACGAGCGGCGAACGGGUGAGUAACACGUGGGUGACCUGCCCUCAGCUCUGGGAUAAGCCUGGGAAACCGGGUCUAAUACCGGAUAUGACUCCAUGACGCAUGUUGUGGGGUGGAAAGCCUUGUGCGGCUGAGGAUGGGCCCGCGGCCUAUCAGCUUGUUGGUGGGGUGANGGCCUACCAAGGCGACGACGGGUAGCCGGCCUGAGAGGGCGACCGGCCACACUGGGACUGAGACACGGCCCAGACUCCUACGGGAGGCAGCAGUGGGGAACCUUGCGCAAUGGGCGAAAAGCCUGACGCAGCGACGCCGCGUGAGGGAUGACGGCCUGGUCGUAACAC